rnacentral:misc_RNA from 1 species
CUGGAUAAGAUUUAUGCAACACUAUACAUACAAACGAUUAACCAUGUUGCAGUAUAAAUAUGACGGUUUCAGAUGCUUUCUUUUUUCUCCAAACAUAUGGACAAAUGGGAGAAAUUUAACUUCGAAUAUCAUGUAAAUAAUCCUUUAAGUGCAAAAUAUUUCAACCUAUCAAAAAAUAAGCGCAAUAUUUCAGCGGAACAAAAUCAAUUCCCCCAAAUUAUCAUGAGAAUGAUUUUCACAUCAUACUAAUUAUAAACAACAGCUGGAUGAUUUAACAUGAUUGUCCUUAUCUGAUCUUCUUGGUUCUGGCCAAUUCGCAUAAAGAAGCUCAAAAAUAAUGUCACUGGUCCUCAAAAAUAUUGUGUGUUAUGGAGCUCAAAUAGGAGUACGGACAACCUCAUUUUCAAGAGCAACCUCCAUUGCCUGACUGAGAUGUCCAAGGUGGCCAGAUUCUUUUCCACCUAAUCAGGAAAGGGCGCAUACCCAGUAUGUGAAAGACACCCUAGAAAAUUUUAAAUAAUUGGGAUAAUGGGAUUCUUAAUCUUUUCCACCUGCUCCUAACUAGGAAAGGGUGCAAACCCAGUAUAUGUUCUGGCAUGAAGUCAUGCCUCGUCAAUAUACCCACAACAGGAGAUCUACCAGAGAUCUUGGGUAUCACAAGCAGGUGCCUCAAACCAAGUUCUCGAAAUAGCACGCGAGCCUUAGCUAGUGACAUUGUCUCCACAACAGUAUAAGGUGAAGCAUUAGUGAAAGGAUGCAAAUCUAAAUACAUCUCCAUCUCUUCUUCAGUAAUUUCUAUAUAUUCUAUCUUGUCACCAUUGCCUGAGCCCUUCUUUGAAAAGUCACUAGCUGAGAAUUGAUUAAAGGCAUCAGCACCUAUUGGCACUGGAGUGGAUGAAAAAACCUUCUUCUUUAGCAAUUCAAUAAGAUGAGCACGGAGUAUUAGUCCAUAAAGAACUGGAGAUUCAGAAAGUGGAGAAUCAUCAAUUACAGGAAAUCCAUUAUGUCUUGUUGUUUGGAGAACAUGUACUAUAUUACCAACCUUCUCAAGGCCAUGAAACAGCUGAAGUGGACCUGUGACUACAUCACCAACUGUCAGCUGCCUCAUGUAAGGCUCAGAAUGCAUUUCUAGAUAAGGAAAACCCUUCACUUUCAUGAUAAGGUCAUAUAUGUUACCAUUAAAAGCAUCAGCCACAGUCUUGGAAACAAGAAGAACCAACAUUAUCAGGGGUAGUAGCAACAGAUUAUUGGUCAAUUCUAGGAUAAUGACACAUAAAGAAACUGUCAUCCUCAUAGAUCCACCAAGAAAUGAAGCAGCACCUAGCACAGCAUAGAGGCCAUGAUUAAGACUCGAUUCUGAACCAACUAGCAUUCCUACAAAACGUCCAUAAGAUGCGCCUGUCACAAUAACUGGUACAAAAAGACCCGCAGGAACAACAAUCCCAUAGCUAAAAAUACUGAGAAAAAAGCAUGUUACAAAAAAUAUGAGAAUUGAUGAAUAUUGAAACUCAGAAUCAGUGUCCCUGCUGAAAAGAUUUCUAAUAGCAUCAUCAUUUGUGUUAAAAAUGAGGCUAGCAAGAUCAUUGUAAUGACCAGGUUGGCAUUGAAAUUUCUUGUAGUUGCCAGACCGGCCUAUUGUUGGACAGGCUUCGGAUGCAUCAGCUGGACAAGGUUGGCAUGAGGCCAGCCAAGGUAAUCCAAAAAGAAGACAGGAUGUGAAUAUAGAGAUUGAACAAGCAAGAAAAAUUCUGUAAAAAAUGCCUUUCUCAUUAAUAAGGUUGUAAACCCGAAGAACCAUAUCUAGAAGAAAAUUAUACAAACUUCCCAAUAUGCCCCCUAUGACUCCAAGGAGAAGCACCGAUGGCACAUCAAUGAGAUGAUAUGUAACAUUUGCAGAAUAGACGUCAAACAUUAUGAGCCCCCCUGUACCAAAUAGCCCACAUUUGCCACUCAAACACAAAUCAAUCAAAGCCCGAAGCACUAUUGCAACUACAGCUGUUACGAAGAAAGCUCUCCACAGAAGGGCACUUCUCCACCAAGAUGCCAUUUCUUCAAGAGCAAACAGCACACCACCAACUGGGGCACGAAAGGCAGCAGCGAUCCCAGCAGCUGAUCCACAUGUUACAAGAUCUCGCCGAUCUCGGUCAUUUUUGAAAAAGCGUAGCCAUUUCCAGGUUAAUCUAUAUUUCUUAGACCCACCCUGACCCAACAAUGAUGCAACACAUGCACCAAUGUGCACCAUGGGCCCUGCCUUUCCAAUAUGAAGAGAUGAUGACACUGCAGAAAUGCUUCCAAUAAUCUGCCAAAUGAACAAAAAUGAGACUUUCACAUAUUAAUUGAAGAAAACGAGAAGUCUCUUACAUUAGUCAUGAGAAAUAUGGAAAAAUUUAAGCAAUUCCAUUUGAGAAAAAUUUAGGCCUUGAGGACAAUGUUUGCUCAUGAUGCCAUUUUUUUUUUCUUAAAAGUGCAUAACAUUAAUAUGCAUGAGUACAUAAGUUCAGUAAUAGGUUAAAUUGGAUGAAUAAGAUGAACAUGAGAGUAAAAUGUGGGUGGAAAGGCAAAGGACAACCCACUCACACUCUCACAGUGGCCAAAGCUAUACUAGUUCAAACAUCACAUCUAUGCACACGCUUAUGAUAUCGUAAAGUAACAUAUUUUAAACCUUAGAUUUGUGCAUUCUCCAUACCAUAAUACAAAACUAAGAAGGUUGUAUCAAAGUAAUAAAUGCCUUUCUUCAAUCAACUCACAAAUAAAUAUAUCUCGAGAAUAUAUCAAGUAAAAUGGUAGUUAAGAGAGAGAAAGAGAACAAUUUUCCAAAAUUCCUAAGAAAUAUUAGACCAUUGGACAUUAAACAUGCAUAAAAAACAUUCAACAGCAAACUGACCUCAAUAAAACCUUCUGCACACUAUAGCAAACAAUUAUACAUCAAUGCGAUUCAGAAUGUAAAAUGCUUUCAGAAAGCUCUCCUUACAUUUCAAAUAUCAGGGUCAUUUAUACAAUAUUGAACUGAAGCCCAGCCAGUGGCAUAUCACCCUUAUAACAGUGUGGAUUGGUGAUGCAGUAUUAGAAGUAGACUAAACUUACGAAUUAUAUUCAUUCUUCUUCCAACUAUGCAUCAAUUGGACUCAGCUCAAAGAAUUAAGAUGUUGGCAAAAAGAGACAAUCGCUAAGUUUCACACUUCACACACUAUCCAAUUCAGCAUAUCACUUCUGGUCUUAUGUCACUCUAAUAGGCAUAGUCAUUCAGCAAGCUCACAAACACACUUGCCUUGACAAACAAAGUUCGCAAGGAAAGAAUUCCGGGUGCAUCCACACCAUUCAGAUAAGCUUUCACUUCUGGUAUACCUGAACCAGCAGCAGCCGGAGCUACAAAAGCCGUGACUAUGGAUGCGAACAGGGUAAGAACCAAAUUAGAGACUGAGAACACAAGAAAUGCCAUACCAUACCUAUUAAAGAGCAUCAUAUUGGAAGUGAUGACAAACUUAAUACCAGCAAUAUUCUCAACAGCAAUAUUAUUAAAAAACCCAAUAAGGCUAACGAUAACCCCAAUCAAGAAGCAAAGCGACCACUUCAUGAACACGUAUUGAAAAAUCUGGAUCUUUCCACGGGUCCUCCAGUCCUGCUUGAAGAAAUCAUUCUCCGCAAUCUCGUAGUCGAGGCUUUCAAUAGGGCAGACAUUGGCGCCGACGAUAGCAACCUGAGAGGUGGAGUUGGCGAGGGAACGAUGAGAGGUGAGAAGAGGAAGUGUGAGAGAUUCUUGGUCUGUUGCUCCAUUGAUGGAAUUUGUGGACAUGGUGUUCCCUUGUCUGGAGCGUAAUGCAAGGUUUCAAUUAGGGAACACUUGGAGAUAUUUAUUAUUCAACAGAGGGACAGAGAGAGUUGAGAAUUCAAUUGUUUGAAGGAUGAAGAAGGAGACGGGAGUUUGAGAGAGAGCAAGAGUUUGCAGUUUCUGGGUUUGGUGGGGAAAGUGAGAUGGGAAUAGAA